rnacentral:tRNA from 1 species
GGCGGCGUACCCAAGUGGUCUAAGGGGACGGAUUGCAAAUCCGUUAUCCGUGGGUUCGAAUCCCACCGCCGCCU